rnacentral:rRNA from 1 species
CAUCCUCCAAGGCUAAAUACUCCUGACUGACCGAUAGUGAACCAGUACCGUGAGGGAAAGGCGAAAAGAACCCCGGCGAGGGGAGUGAAAAAGAACCUGAAACCGUGUACGUACAAGCAGUGGGAGCACCCUUUGGGGUGUGACUGCGUACCUUUUGUAUAAUGGGUCAGCGACUUAUAUUCUGUAGCAAGGUUAACCGUAUAGGGGAGCCGCAGGGAAACCGAGUCUUAACCGGGCGUUAAGUUGCAGGGUAUAGACCCGAAACC